rnacentral:rRNA from 1 species
CAGCAGUCGAGAGGCUUCGGCAAUGGGGGAAACCCUGACCGAGCGACGCCGCGUGGAGGAUGAAGGCCCUUGGGUUGUAAACUCCUUUCGUGGGGGAAGAAUGUGCCCGAGGUAAAUAAUCUCGAGUAUUGACGGUACCCCAAGAAGAAGCUCCGGCUAACUCCGUGCCAGCAGCCGCGGUAAUACGGGGGGAGCAAGCGUUGUUCGGAAUCACUGGGCGUAAAGGGAGUCUAGGCGGUUUGGUAAGUGGGAUGUGAAAUGCCCGGGCUCACCCCGGGACCUGCAUCCCAAACUGCUGAGCUUGAGUACAGGAGAGGGUGGGGGAAUUCCAGGUGUAGCGGUGAAAUGCGUAGAUAUCUGGAGGAACACCGGUGGCGAAGGCGCCCACCUGGCCUGCUACUGACGCUGAAGCUCGAAAGCUAGGGGAGCAAACGGGAUUAGA